rnacentral:misc_RNA from 1 species
UAAUAAGUGUUUUAUGGCACUUUUUAAAUCCGUAUCCACCUUGUGUGCAAUGUCAGUCGAUCUUCUUCAUGGAGAUCGACCAAACAUCAACCUUUAUCUUUUAACUCUUUGUCUGAAAACUAUUAUGAAUAAACUAAUUCAAAAUA